rnacentral:lncRNA from 1 species
CUCUGAGUUCAGAGCCCUCCUCUGUCCACUGGGAUGACAGUGCUCUCCAACCAAGUUGUUCUGGGAGGUGAGAGCAGGCUUGGGAGGAGUGGGCACAGAAAAGGCCUCAGUGAGUGGGGCAAGGAGGGAGAGGAGGAGUCUGAGUUUUAGCCACCACAAUCUGCCAGGGCUCACGGACCUGCUGACUGCAGAGCCUGCGAUCCUGGAAGUGCCCACAACCUCCAGAAUGACCUGCUCAAGAUCACACAGCUGCCAAUGCAAAGAGUGCACCAAGCCCAGGUGGGAAGCCAAGGCACAGGGAGCUCCAAGACCGGCCCGGGAUGUUCAGGUUGAACUGCACCAUCAUCACAGACUGAAACAGCAGGAUACUAGCACUUUGGCGUGA